AAGGAAUAAUUUGACGAGACACAAGAAUCAAAAUGAUACCGCCGUUUGGAAGAGCAUUCAACAUGAUAUAUAUACUUCUCUUGAUUUUAAUCAUACUGCCAACUGGGUCAUUUUCCCCAAUAUUUCCAUGUAUUGAAAACAAUUCAAAUUCUAAACUAGUUGUUGGUAUGUUGGACCAGUUUUGUAAUCAAGUUAGAAACAAAGCAAUGACCGAUUGUUUUCGGGAUUUACAAAGGAAGAAUAAAAGGAAUAGAGAUAAUUGUCUGCGAAAGGCGAAUGAGGAACAAAAGAAGUGUUUUGAGAGAAUGUCAUUGAAAAAAUGACGUUUAAUUGCUUUCAAUUUUUUUCUUUUCGAUUUCAUUCUUCUACUUGUGUGAAAGGUGGUAUUCGGUGUGUUAGAGAUUUCAAAUGAAUGUAGUUUAAUAUGUUUCAUGUAAUCAUUAUUCCAUUCUAUGGGAAAAUGGUUCACUUGUGCAGUAUAGAUUAUGAGAUGCAGGGAGCCGAGUUGAUGAUGACUUGAAGAAAGCCAAGAGUAUGAAGAAAGAGUACACGCUGUGGGAAUAACAUCAAGUUACAACGAUUGGAAAAAGACUCCUUCGGAGAAAGCAAUAUCAUUCCUAACCUCCCAUCAGAAUACUAUUGAUGGUUGGUUGGUUAUAUAUAGUUUAUCGUCCCACUGCAGAUUUUUCACUCAUGUGGAGGCGUCACCAUUAUCGAUGUAAGAGCUGUAAAGUUUUCGUCUUUGCUUGGGGCUUACAGCCUUUUGAGCAGGGGGUAUCUUUAUCGUGCCACACCAGCUGUGACACCGAGCCUCGGAUUUUGCAGUCACCUUUUACGAUAAGCAAGGGAUACUGAAGACCUAUUCUAACCCGGAACACGGGAUUGAUGAAGAUAAGACGAAAUAAAGGAAUGGAGAGAAGACAAAAACGAUGCGACCAAUGGUAACAAUGAUUUCUACAAGAAAGGUAAUGUACAUAUAUCAAACACGGAAUAUGUAUUUUCAUUUCAGUGAUGUGGUGGAUUCACAUCCCUUUUAAUGAGAAUGCAGUUUAUCGAUCUGGUAGUGCAGCAGAGAUAUCAAGAAAUUGAUAGCAGAAGAUCAAGAAAUCAAACCCUUCUUCGGGAACACAGGUCGUCAAUGUGAUAGUGCAGCAGAGAUAUCAAGAAAUUGAUACCAGAAGAUCAAGAAAGCAGACCCUUCUUCGGGAACACAGGUCGUCAAUGUGAUAGUGCAGCAGAGAUAUCAAGAAAUUGAUAGCAGAAGAUCAAGAAAGCAGACCCUUCUUCGGGAACACAGGUCGUCAAUGUGAUAGUGCAGCAGAGAUAUCAAGAAAUUGAUAGCAGAAGAUCAAGAAAGCAGACCCUUCUUCGGGAACGCAGGUCGUCAAUGUGAUAGUGCAGCAGAGAUAUCAAGAAAUUGAUAGCAGAAGAUCAAGAAAGCAGACCCUUCUUCGGGAACGCAGGUCGUAAAUGUGAUAGUGCAGCAGAGAUAUCAAGAAAUUGAUAGCAGAAGAUCAAGAAAGCAGACCCUUCUUCGGGAACGCAGGUCGUCAAUGUGAUAGUGCAGCAGAUAUAUCAAGAAAUUGAUAUCAGAAGAUCAAGAAAUCGGACCCUUCUCCAGGACCACGGUUCAUCGAUGUGAUGGUGCAGCAGAUAUAUCAAAAAAUUGAUAUCAGAGGAUCAGGAAUCAAAUGUUUCUAGCUCUAGCCAUGUGGUUUCCUGUUUUUGGUGUGGUGAAAUUUCCCGGAAAUCAUUAUCGAAAGGUUAUCAAGUCCUUCGCAAAUAAUGCUGUUAACCAUGUGAUGUGGUAGAAUUGUCUAAAGAUCAAUAUAAUCUCUUUCCCAAGUAUAUGGUUCACCACUCUGAAGGGCGAGGCUGGAUAUCAACAUGGAAUAUAUCAGCAGCAUAGUUAAGGUUACCCGAAUACUAUACAUGUAUUCUGAGUAAAUAUGUCGCCAAAAUAUCAAUACAUAGCAAUAGAUGCGGAACACUUGAUAUCUCUGUAAAGACUGGUGCUUAUUACCAUAUUGUCCUUAGGGCACAUCCUGAAUUAAGACGUGGAUAAAUAUGCAAUAUCAAAGUGAACAAUAAGUCAAUAUUUCUAAUAUGCAGCUCUCUUUAUAUGUAAAAUUGAAAAUCACAGUUAAAUACCUCGCGAUAAUGCAAAUACUUGCUGUUACUUCGUAUAGUAUGAAGUACAAUGAGAUGCUUCUCCGGGAACCUUAACUACGCUGCGCCAUAAUCCCUCUCCCAGAUUAGGGUUUAUGGCCCAUAAUAUAUGGCUCGACACUUGUAUCCCUAUAAUAAGGUAAGACGAUAUCGCAAUUUAGUCUCAUUGAAAUGGUGAUUAUUUUGUUCUGUUUUGUUUUGCAAUAAGUAUGACUUCAGUAAGUUGUUAAAAGUAUAGUCAAUCGACUGACACAUGCUUGAUAAUUGGUAAGGUUUAUGGUUAUUUACAACAGAUUUUCCUGCAAUGAACCUGGAAAGUGGAGUCUCCCCAUUGUUGAACUACCUAGGAAACCUACGUUAAGAUCACCCGGACAUCCCAACGAACAAAAAGAAAAUUAUGCUUUUUGAAGGAUACGUUUCACCCAAUGUGUGAUAGACACCAUCCGAAUGAAGCUACCCAAAGAUGUCGUUUGAUCUCAGAUCUGACCAAUCGCAAUAUUCUAUAACUAAUAUAGCAAUAAAAUCCAUUUUGCUAUGACAUAUUAUUGAUAGAUUACCAACCAUUGCAGUUUUUUUUAUGUCUUGAACGAUUUGAUUUAUAUAAAAGCUAUGUUAUACUGUUACCAAAAGUUGCAUCAAAUGCGAAUAUUGAACCCAAAGUUGUGGACUAGCGCAGAAAUACCCUUUUCGUGAGUUUGACAGUCGAGUGUGAGGAACAAUGAUCGACACUUCAUCUUCAACGACUAAAAAUGCAUUACAUCAAUUCAAAUAAAACUUUUGUGGAAUUCAUUUUAAAUAUGAUUUGAUACGUAAAUGAACAUCCUCAUCGUAAUCUACAACCACGAUCAUUUCCAUGAUAUUUAUUUUUUCUGUUCUUGCAUGUUUUGUUUUUUUUUUACUUGUGUAGAGCGCAAAUGAAAAAGGAAUUUAA